ensembl:lncRNA
GUUGUUUCAAGCGUGGAGUAUAUCGAUUCUGUUGUUGAGCGGAUUUGAACACCGACCGUGUUUGGUAAACAAAUUUUUGGACCUCCAAAUCUUGUUCAAGUGACCGGCAUCUGCGUCAGUUGGACUGGGAGGUCAGACUGUGAUCUUACACAACCUGAGCAGAUACUUUGUAUUGAGGACAGCCGGGGUGAUGAUACAAAGUACAUUACCACAAUGGGGUCAGUUACGGACACCCUUCCUUGUGGCUGCACAGCGUGAGGGGAUUUUUGUUUUCUUUCAGGCUUGAAAGCUGAAGUGGAGAAGGAGAACUUAGUGGAGAAGGAGAACUGACCCUACUCCCCCAGCACAAUUGGAGGGAGGGCAUCCCAGUAUUGAUGAGAGCCCAUCUAGCAAGACAGCAUGGGUGGACAGUAUCAAGCCUUUCUGGUCAUCUUCACGCCCCUGGGCCAGGC